CCUACGGGAGGCAGCAGUGGGGAAUAUUGGGCAAUGGGCGCAAGCCUGACCCAGCAACGCCGCGUGAGCGAUGAAGGUCUUCGGAUUGUAAAGCUCUGUCGCUGGGGACGAAGUAUGACGGUACCCUGUAAGAAAGCCCCGGCACACUACGUGCCAGCAGCCGCGGUAAUACGGAGGGGGCUAGCGUUGUCCGGAAUUACUGGGCGUAAAGGGAGUGUAGACGGCUUGUCAAGUUAAGUGUGAAAGCCUGCGGCUUAACCGGAGAAUUGCACUUAAAAUUGACUGGCUAGAGUGCAGGAGAGGUGAGUGGAAUUCCUGGUGUAGCAGUGGAAUGCGUAGAUAUUAGGAGGAACACCAGAGGCGAAGGCGGCUCACUGGACUGUAACUGACGUUGAGGCUCGAAGGCGUGGGGAGCAAACAGGAUUAGAUACCCGUGUAGUC
rnacentral:rRNA from 1 species